UAUGUGUGUGUGUGUGUGUUGUGUGUGCCGUCACUGUCAGAGUCACAGACAAUGUCGAUGGCGUUGUCGACGUCGUCAUUGUACCCCUAAAAGAAGCGUAUUCAAUGCAAACAGUAACGUCUCAGUCAGCAGCGCUGUUUCCGUAAACUUCACACCGUCCGACUUUCUUUUUAUUUUUGCAAUCAGCGUAUGUGCAUCCGUUUAGCGCGUCUCUCAUCCGCACGAGCAGAAAUGCACAUAUUUUCACAUAUGUAUGUAAUACAAUUGCACUUUAUGCUCAUACCGCACAACCCCCGCAAUAGAUAUGAAUAACUUUUUUACCCAGCUGCUGCCAACCCAUCGUCGUCCAACCACCAACCCAACACCCAGUGGCCGAAGCAACGACUUUCAACGUCGCGCUGUUGAUGCGCGUAAGGAUUUUCCUGUCACUCUACGCUAGAGCGAUAUCCUUUCGAUUGUGAAUUUUCUCUUCGAAUGAAGGUAAACUUUUUGAAUAUGUACACAGUGAAGUGGCGAACGAGCGAACGACAGGCGUCAGUGCUGCGAACCUUUGCAAUUUUGCCCGUCAUGAGAUGGCUAAAAAUGGUGGCGUAGAAUAUGCGGGAAGUUUUCGUAUGUUUCCGUUGGUAAAGCAGUACAUAACGGAAGUUGAGAAAAUGUAAAAGUAGAAAGCCAAAAUGAAGGAAUUUUCACAUUA